rnacentral:rRNA from 1 species
CUACGGAGGAUGCGAGCGUUAUCCGGAUUUAUUGGGUUUAAAGGGUGCGUAGGCUGUGCGUUAAGUCAGGGGUGAAAUGCCGUCGCUCAACGACGGAGCUGCCCUUGAUACUGGCGUGCUGGAGUACGGAUGCCGUUGGAGGAAUGAGUGGUGUAGCGGUGAAAUGCUUAGAUAUCACUCAGAACACCGAUUGCGAAGGCAUCUGACGAAUCCGUCACUGACGCUGAGGCACGAAAGCGUGGGGAUAGAACAGGAUUAGAUACCCUGAUAUUCCACGCCGUAAACGAUGAUGACUAACCGUCGGCGAUAGACGGCCGGUGGCCAAGCGAAAGCGAUAAGUCAUCCACCUGGGGAGUACGUCGGCAACGAUGAAACUCAAAUGAAUUGACGGGG